rnacentral:rRNA from 1 species
AGCUCCAAUAGCGUAUAUUAAAGUUGUUGCAGUUAAAAAGCUCGUAGUUGGAUUUCUGGCAGAGUGACUCCGGCCAGCAGUUCGCUUGGUUAGGAGCGCCCUACCAUCCUUCGGUUAACCUUUACGGAAUUCACUUUCUGUGCUGGGGCUCCGAUAUUUUACCUUGAGAAAAUUAGAGUGUUUCAGGCAGGCUAUAGCCGGAAUACAUUAGCAUGGAAUAAUAGAAAAGGACUACUACCUCUUCUGUUGGUCUGGGAGGCAGCAGUAAUGAUUAAUAGGGAUAGUUGGGGGCAUUAGUACUUAACUGUCAGAGGUGAAAUUCUCCGAUUUGUUAAAGACUAACUUAUGCGAAAGCAUUUGCCAAGGAUGUUUUCA